AUAUCAACAACCUCAGAUAUGCAGAUGAUACCACUCUAAGAGCAGAAAGUGAAGACCUAAAGAGCCUCUUGAUGAAGGUGAGAGAGGACAGUGAAAAAGCCGACUUAAAACUCAACAUUCAAAACACUAAGAUCAUGGCAUCCGGUACAUCAUGGCAUCCGGUACAUCAUGGCAUCCGGUACAUCAUGGCAUGUCGACCUUUGCCGACAAAGGUCCCUAUAGUCAAAGCUAUGGUUUUUCCAGUAGUCAUGUAUGGAUGUGAGUCAGACCAUAAAGAAGGCUGAGCAUGGAAGAAUUGAUGCUUUCUAACUGUGGUGCUGGAGAAGACUCUUGGACUGCAAGGAGAUCAAACCAGUCAAUUCUAAAAGAAAUCAAUCCUGAAUAUCCACUGGAAGGACUGAUGCUGAAGCUGAAGCUCCAAUACUUUGGCCGCCUGAUGGGAAGAGCCAGCCGACUCAUUGGAAAAGACCUUGAUAGUGGGAAAGAUUGAAGGCAGGAGGAGAAGGGGACCACAAAGGAUGAGAUGGUUGGAUGGCAUCACCGACUCAAUGGACAUGGGUUUGAGCUAACUCUGGGAGAUAGUGAAGGACAGGGAAGCCUGCCAUGUUGCAGUCCAUGGGGUCCAAAAGUGUCCGACUGGACCUAGAGACUGACAACAACAACCCACCCACCAGCAUAAAUCAGGGUGCCUACUGCUGAGUGUAUACUUGUUGCCCUAAACAGUCUCUCCAACCAAAAUGAUCUAAAGUGCUCCAGUACCUAGGAAGUCUCAAUUCUAAAAAUUCCAGGGACAGAUUAAGGAUAGCUGCUGCUGCCGCUAAGUCACUUCAGUCGUGUCCAACUCUGUGUGACCCCAUAGACGGCAGCCCACCAGGCUACCCCGUCCCUGGGAUUCUCUAGGCAAGAACACUGGAGUGGGUUGCCAUUUCCUUCUCCAGUGCAUGAAAGUGAAAAGUGAAAGUGAACUUGCUCAGUCGUGUCCGACCCUCAGCGACGCCAUGGACUACAGCCUACCAGUCUCCUCUGUCCAUGGGAUUUUCCAGGCAGGAGUACUCGAGUGGGGUGCCAUUGCCUUCUCCAGAUUAAGGAUAGAACCAAGUAUAAAAGCAAAGCUGGGGACUUCUGAUAGCUUGCAGACUAUCCUGGGGAAAGGCAAAGGAUACUUGAGGUGGGGAGAGGGGAGACAGGCAGAAAUACCUAACAUUAUUAGAGUGCAAGAAGCUCCCCUGAAUCUGCCUCAAGGCUGACAAGAUGCUGACAAGCUUAAGGGCUGGUGCUUGAAAGAAGCUUUUCCAGGAGAUAAGGUGUAUUUGAACAUGUGAUGAUUGAUA
ensembl:lncRNA